ACGGGUGAGUAACACGUAGGUAACCUGCCCAGAAGCGGGGGACAACAUUUGGAAACAGAUGCUAAUACCGCAUAACAACGUUGUUCGCAUGAACAACGCUUAAAAGAUGGCUUCUCGCUAUCACUUCUGGAUGGACCUGCGGUGCAUUAGCUUGUUGGUGGGGUAAUGGCCUACCAAGGCGAUGAUGCAUAGCCGAGUUGAGAGACUGAUCGGCCACAAUGGGACUGAGACACGGCCCAUACUCCUACGGGAGGCAGCAGUAGGGAAUCUUCCACAAUGGGCGCAAGCCUGAUGGAGCAACACCGCGUGAGUGAAGAAGGGUUUCGGCUCGUAAAGCUCUGUUGUUAAAGAAGAACACGUAUGAGAGUAACUGUUCAUACGUUGACGGUAUUUAACCAGAAAGUCACGGCUAACUACGUGCCAGCAGCCGCGGUAAUACGUAGGUGGCAAGCGUUAUCCGGAUUUAUUGGGCGUAAAGAGAGUGCAGGCGGUUUUCUAAGUCUGAUGUGAAAGCCUUCGGCUUAACCGGAGAAGUGCAUCGGAAACUGGAUAACUUGAGUGCAGAAGAGGGUAGUGGAACUCCAUGUGUAGCGGUGGAAUGCGUAGAUAUAUGGAAGAACACCAGUGGCGAAGGCGGCUACCUGGUCUGCAACUGACGCUGAGACUCGAAAGCAUGGGUAGCGAACAGGAUUAGAUACCCUGGUAGUCCAUGCCGUAAACGAUGAGUGCUAGGUGUUGGAGGGUUUCCGCCCUUCAGUGCCGGAGCUAACGCAUUAAGCACUCCGCCUGGGGAGUACGACCGCAAGGUUGAAACUCAAAGGAAUUGACGGGGGCCCGCACAAGCGGUGGAGCAUGUGGUUUAAUUCGAAGCUACGCGAAGAACCUUACCAGGUCUUGACAUCUUGCGCCAACCCUAGAGAUAGGGCGUUUCCUUCGGGAACGCAAUGACAGUGGUGCAU
rnacentral:rRNA from 1 species